rnacentral:lncRNA from 1 species
AGCCGCUAGUCAGCAGUCCUCCUUAUUAAUGUGUCUGUGUGCACUCUCACCUGACAGACUGUCUGUGGGACUGACGGCCCUCUGGAGUCGAGCCCCUCGUGGGCUGAUAGGAGCCGAACGUGAAGUCCUCCUCAUCCAUCAGAGAGGCUGCAGAGAGCAGGACCAGAGGCUGUGGUGUGUCUUUCUUCUCUCCCGUGACGGGUCUCUCCAGCAGACGAGGAGACGUUCCUUGGCUCAGGAUCUCAUCCAGUCCUGUGUGAGCUCUCAGAGGAGGAUCACUGAUCAUAGAGGACAGCCCAGAGCAUCCAUCAGAUCAUCUUCAUCGUCAUCAAACGUCAGAUCAUCUCUCUUCUUCACAGCAUCUGCUGUUAAAACACACAGAAAACAGAAAGAGACGUCAACGAGCUGCUGCUGGGUUUAUCUUCUGUUAUAG